CCUAACACAUGCAAGUCGAACGGUAACAGGAAGCAGCUUGCUGCUUCGCUGACGAGUGGCGGACGGGUGAGUAAUGUCUGGGAAGCUGCCUGAUGGAGGGGGAUAACUACUGGAAACGGUAGCUAAUACCGCAUAAUGUCGCAAGACCAAAGAGGGGGACCUUCGGGCCUCUUGCCAUCGGAUGUGCCCAGAUGGGAUUAGCUUGUUGGUGGGGUAACGGCUCACCAAGGCGACGAUCCCUAGCUGGUCUGAGAGGAUGACCAGCCACACUGGAACUGAGACACGGUCCAGACUCCUACGGGAGGCAGCAGUGGGGAAUAUUGCACAAUGGGCGCAAGCCUGAUGCAGCCAUGCCGCGUGUAUGAAGAAGGCCUUCGGGUUGUAAAGUACUUUCAGCGGGGAGGAAGGGAGUAAAGUUAAUACCUUUGCUCAUUGACGUUACCCGCAGAAGAAGCACCGGCUAACUCCGUGCCAGCAGCCGCGGUAAUACGGAGGGUGCAAGCGUUAAUCGGAAUUACUGGGCGUA
rnacentral:rRNA from 1 species